AAGUCGUAACAAGGUUUCCGUAGGUGAACCUGCGGAAGGAUCAUUAACGAAUCGCGUGGGUUUUGGCCCACAAGUGAGUGCGGCGGGUCUUAAUUGGCCUGUUGAACAACACAACACAUUUGCGAAGGGAACUUUUGAGUGGUGCUGUGAGAUGGAAUUGGAUGGAUGGAUGGAUACGGGAAGUGUGGUAUACUCUACUGCAUCCGCUCUUAUUUAUUCAUAUGUUCAUGCCCUCUCCACAACACAGUCUGACUGAUUGAUUCAUAAUAGUAAACAACUUUUAACAAUGGAUCUCUUGGC
rnacentral:misc_RNA from 1 species